UUUGCAUUUCAAUGGUUCUAGCUAUAUUUAUUUACAAUGUCACAAUAAUCGUGUUUUUAUCUGCAUAUUUAAAUCACUUAUUCACACUAUUAUUACUUAUACACAUAGUCAAUUCAGUUUAACGCCAUCUAUUAGCCAUAGUAUAAAACCAUUAAUUAAUUAUACGCUACAUCAAUAUAUCAUUGCGUGUCUGUCAAUAUUGUCUACAAAGCAUGAAGGGUUGAUCGGAUUAUAUAAAACAUAUUUACAUUUCAAUAAUUUUAGCUAUAUUUAUUUAAAGUUUCUUGGUAUUAAUACUACAGGUUUAUAUACUACAUAUUUAUAUUUCAGUAAUUUUAAUUAUAUUUAUUUACAAUUUCUUAAUAACCGUGUUCUUAUCUACAUAUUUACAUCAGUUAUGCACACUAUUAUCACUUAUAUACAUAGACAAAUAUUAUACAAAAUUAUUACAUUAAUAUUAUUGAAAAAUGGCGAACAAACUUCUUAGGGUUGGGCUGUUUAAUGCAGGCUCCCUUGGCACAAACCACGAUAACUUUACGGUUACAGUAAGCGAAAUUAUUAAUAUUAUAAAAUCAUUGAGAUCUAAAGCAGA
rnacentral:misc_RNA from 1 species